rnacentral:tRNA from 1 species
AUCAAAUUAGCAAAGAUCUAAUGCAACUGACUUAGGAUUAGUUAUUAUAGGUGAAAUCCCUUUAUUUGAUA